CUUGGCGGCAAAGGGCGGAGCGAGGAGCCUUGGAGUAGGGGGACAGGGAGCUCGGCCUGGUCUCGUCUUACUCAGUGACGGAGGAGGAGCAAGGAUGCUCCCAGACGCGCCUGUCUUCAGCCGCUGGACCAGUCUCGCCGUGAAGCGUCCCAAAGCCCCUGGCGCUUUCAGCCCUAAGAAGUCUCAGAGUCCUGACCACUUCCUUGGGUCCCCCCUCCGCCCCCAUUCGGUCUCUCCAGUACCGGCCAAGAACCAGAGGUUUGAAAUCAGCUGGGGGAACCGGAACGACACAACCGCAGGGGGAUGUAGAAUAGGGACAGUGCGUAGAGUGUGGUCCAUCAGGGAGGAUUCCUAGAGAUAAGGAAACUGGAGCUCCUAGAGGGAAGUGGCUUGCCCAAGACUACACAGCCAGGGAGUAGUAGAGCUGAUACCCAAACCUUCUGAUCACACAGGGGCUGCGAACACUCUUCAUCACGCCAUGAUUCCUUCUUCGGCUACAGUGCCUACCACCUAGCAUUUUACUUUGCAAAGUGACUAAUACUCCAUUUCUCCUAGAAUAGAGCUUUCCUUGUCUGUAAAGGAAUCAGUGACUUGUUUCUCUUCUUGCAUCCUGCCCGUAGUACCAUUUCUUUCUUUUGUUUUUUUUUUUUAAAGUAAGCUCUAGGCCCAAUGUGGCUUGAACUCAUGACCCCAAGAUCAAGAGUCCACAUGCUCUUCUAACUGAGCCAGCCCAGCCCCCCACUCCCCCCCCCAAUAUUACCAUUUCUGCUCAUAGUACAUUGUUUGCUGCCUUACUGAAUGGCUCAUCUUGUGAGGGUUCUAGCAAGGUGGGCCUUUGACAAAGGGAAGCAUUGUGGUGUGUGUACAGAUGAGGCCAAGCCUGCAGGGAUUCUGCACGGUGAAGAGGAGGGUGAGCAGGUUGCAGUCCCAACUGUGGGUGCUGGGGAAUCUCCCUAAUGGGUGCUGGGUUUAGGCCAAGGGUCAGC
rnacentral:lncRNA from 1 species